rnacentral:rRNA from 1 species
GACGAACGCUGGCGGCGUGCCUAAUACAUGCAAGUAGAACGCUGAAGGAGGAGCUUGCUUCUCUGGAUGAGUUGCGAACGGGUGAGUAACGCGUAGGUAACCUGCCUGGUAGCGGGGGAUAACUAUUGGAAACGAUAGCUAAUACCGCAUAAGAGUAGAUGUUGCAUGACAUUUGCUUAAAAGGUGCAAUUGCAUCACUACCAGAUGGACCUGCGUUGUAUUAGCUAGUUGGUGGGGUAACGGCUCACCAAGGCGACGAUACAUAGCCGACCUGAGAGGGUGAUCGGCCACACUGGGACUGAGACACGGCCCAGACUCCUACGGGAGGCAGCAGUAGGGAAUCUUCGGCAAUGGACGGAAGUCUGACAGAGCAACGCCGCGUGAGUGAAGAAGGUUUUCGGAUCGUAAAGCUCGGUUGUAAGAGAAGAACGAGUGUGAGAGUGGAAAGUUCACACUGUGACGGUAUCUUACCAGAAAGGGACGGCUAACUACGUG